CCUACGGGAGGCAGCAGUGAGGAAUAUUGCGCAAUGGGCGAAAGCCUGACGCAGCAACGCCGCGUGGAUGAUGAAGUUCUUCGGAAUGUAAAAUCCUUUUGCAGGGGACGAAUAUGCUGGCUUGCCAGCACUGACGGUACCUUGCGAAUAAGCCACGGCUAACUCUGUGCCAGCAGCCGCGGUAAU
rnacentral:rRNA from 1 species